rnacentral:rRNA from 1 species
UGUAGGCGGUUCGGUAAGUUAAAGGUGAAAUCCCAAGGCUCAACCUUGGAAUUGCUUUUAAAACUGCUAAUCUAGAGAUUGAAAGAGGAUAGAGGAAUUCCUAGUGUAGAGGUGAAAUUCGUAAAUAUUAGGAGGAACACCAGUGGCGAAGGCGUCUAUCUGGUUCAAAUCUGACGCUGAGGCGCGAAGGCGUGGGGAGCAAACAGGAUUAGAUACCCUGGUAGUCCACGCUGUAAACGAUGAGUGC